UAAACAGGGGUGCUGACGGUAUGUCGGCUGAGAUAGGGCAAACAACAGCCCUGAACCCUUAAACCUGAUGCGGAUAAUGCCGACGUAGGGAUUAUAU
rnacentral:ncRNA from 1 species